UCACAGAAUUAACAGGCCUGCCUAUGGAAUGUUUCAGGGUGCUGGUUUAGGACUUCUGAGUGGAAACAUGGACAGGAUUCACUUUGGGACAACUUCAGACUGAUAAUUAGAGAGAACUGCUGGGAUGUGACAGAUCAUUGUUCCCCUCACAAAGAGCUGCUGGACUGAGAGGAAAAUUGUAAUACCAGGUGCCUCCCUGAGCUGCAUUUCUAGAGGUAUUACUGUAAAAACACACCAAGGUGCUAAACGCUGCCAAGAGGCCAUGGAAACGCUCUGGUUGUUUCACACACAGGUGAGUUAGGGAGCACUCACUGAUGCUGACAGUAUGUACAGCUCCAUCUUCUCUUCAAAAACC
rnacentral:lncRNA from 12 species